GAACGGUAGCACAGAGAGCUUGCUCUUGGGUGACGAGUGGCGGACGGGUGAGUAAUGUCUGGGAAACUGCCCGAUGGAGGGGAAUAACUACUGGAAACGGUAGCUAAUACCGCAUAACGUCUUCGGACCAAAGUGGGGGACCUUCGGGCCUCACACCAUCGGAUGUGCCCAGAUGGGAUUAGCUAGUAGGUGGGGUAAUGGCUCACCUAGGCGACGAUCCCUAGCUGGUCUGAGAGGAUGACCAGCCACACUGGAACUGAGACACGGUCCAGACUCCUACGGGAGGCAGCAGUGGGGAAUAUUGCACAAUGGGCGCAAGCCUGAUGCAGCCAUGCCGCGUGUAUGAAGAAGGCCUUCGGGUUGUAAAGUACUUUCAGCGGGGAGGAAGGCGAUGAGGUUAAUAACCUUAUCGAUUGACGUUACCCGCAGAAGAAGCACCGGCUAACUCCGUG
rnacentral:rRNA from 1 species